GACGAACGCUGGCGGCGUGCUUAACACAUGCAAGUCGAACGGAAAGGCCCUGCUUGCAGGGUACUCGAGUGGCGAACGGGUGAGUAACACGUGGGUGAUCUGCCCUGCACUUCGGGAUAAGCCUGGGAAACUGGGUCUAAUACCGGAUAUGACCUUCCAUGUAGUGUGGGGGGUGGAAAGAUUUAUCGGUGUGGGAUGAGCCCGCGGCCUAUCAGCUUGUUGGUGGGGUAAUGGCCUACCAAGGCGUCGACGGGUGGCCGGCCUGAGAGGGUGGACGGCCACAUUGGGACUGAGAUACGGCCCAGACUCCUACGGGAGGCAGCAGUGGGGAAUAUUGCACAAUGGGCGGAAGCCUGAUGCAGCGACGCCGCGUGGGGGAUGACGGCCUUCGGGUUGUAAACCUCUUUCGACAGGGACGAAGCUUCGGUGACGGUACCUGGAGAAGAAGCACCGGCUAACUACGUG
rnacentral:rRNA from 1 species